GCCUCGCGCACAAGGCAUCCACUGCACUCCGACUUCAUACGCUGGAGUACAUACACACGCACGCACGCACAACCGACACCCUCCCCACUGUGUGCCUCUUCUGCCCCGCUGCUUUUCCGCCGUCGAAGCAAGCGUGCAAAAAAGUGCAGAAGCAAGGGAGAGAGAGCGCGAGGUGUUGAACUCCAGCAAUGAAGUACGUGGCAGUCUUUGCCUCCUCGGCGAGUCUGGCCAACUUUCGGUUGCCAGAGUUUCAGUUUGUAGCCGCCACGCUGCGCGUCCCCAUCACGUUUCUGGACGACAAAAUCCCAUGGGUUGCAGGCGGCGCCGAUACGUUUUGGUUCAGUGUCUUCGAGUCGCCGGCGAGCCGUUCCGAGCUCAAGGCCCUCGCGGAGCGUUGCGCGCUGUUGCGCGGAGUGUACACGCUCUUUGAGACUGCCCCUACACUGGAGGACCUCUACGCGUGCCUCGAAGAGCGCCAUGGUAGCGCGGCAGGAUCUGCAGGCCCAUCCCUGGCCUCCUUCCCCACCACCGCUGCCACCGCCUUCGUCGGCGAGGACGAGACGACGCACCUCACGAGCUCGACAUACUCCUACCAGGUAGAGACAAUCGGCAAGAAGUACUCCGCGGACGCCAAGCGUGCAGUGGCGGAGGCAGUGCUGAAGCGUGUGCCGCGCGCUGGCGAGGUCGAGUGGCGACAGCCGGGGCGCGCCUACUACAUAUUCCUCCAGCACGCUGUCGAGAACGCGCCGCCUGGAGCGCAAGGAUGGGUAUCGAAUGGGCCGCUGCUGCGCGUCUUUCACUGCCGCCUCUGCGUCGAGUCCAGCCGCAGUGCGCUACUCGCUACGUACGACCUGCGAAAGCGGCCCUACAUCGGCACCACCUCCAUGCCGCCGGAGGAGUCGCUCAUGAUGGUGAACAUGUCAGGCGUGUGUCGCGGCCACUACGUGUACGACCCGUUCUGCGGCACGGGAAGCCUGCUCAUCGCGGCGGCGCACUACGGCGCCAGAACCUUCGGCUCAGACGCCGAUGGACGGGCGAUGCGGGCUGGCACGGAGAAAGGAAAGACGAGUCCACAGAUGCAGCAGCAACGCCGCCUGGCGCUCGCGGCCUACACCGAGGAGCAGUUGUGCGUCUUGACGGAGGAGGAGCGUGUGCUGCCAAACAUGAUCACCAACUUUAAGCUGUACUGCCUGCCACCGCCUGACAGAGCUCGCAUGAACUUCUCCGCGUGGCCGCGGACGUGGCACGCCUGCGCGCUGCGUCUCGGCUCCGGCGGCAUCUUCGACAGCAUCAUCACGGACCCGCCGUACGGCUUACGCGAGCCGCGCAAGAGGGUGGUAACGACGGCUGCCACCAUCCCAACGGCAGCGGCAGCGGCGGCUUCUACGGAGGCUGGCAGCGACAACGCCGCCAAGCAGCAAGCUGUCAGUUUCUCUGCCUACCCCACCCACGAGGUGCUGCUGGAUCUCGUCAUGUUCGCUGCCACGUACCUCGUCGUCGGAGGCCAUCUCACCUUCUGGCACCCAACCACCGAUCACUACACGGACGACGAGCUACCCAGUCACCCAUCCCUGCGCAUUGUAUGCAACAUCGCGCAGCGGGUAUCGCUCAAGGUUGUGCGCCGCCUCAUCGUUCUACGAAAGGUCGCACCGGUGCCGAUACCGCCGCCGUCACGCGAAUCCUGCGCCGCGACGAAGUCCCCAGAUGACCUGCGUGUGCUCAUGGACGCAACGGAGCUGCCUGACAACGCGGACUACAUGCACUACCGCGCCAAGCGCGAGCGGAAGCGCCAGGCAGCGCACAAGUACAAGGCGUCUGCAGACGCCUCUUCCCCCUCCACCCCUGCCACAGGGGUGGAUGUCGGCAGCGGCAGCGAUGGAAGCAACCGGCGCGGUCGAAAGCAGAGCCGGCCGGACGGGCAGGACAAGAUUGUGGCAAAUCGGCAGCGCAACAUCGAGCUGCGGGCGGCGAAGCAGGCGGCCUCGCACCUCGCAAAUGCGUCUCACAAGACGGUCGGCCAUAGCCGACCGUGAAGGAUGAUGAAGGACGAAGACGAUUCCGUACCCCAUCGAUAUCUCCAUCCGCAUCUCUUCAUGUCAUCGGACUCUCCUCUUUCUUCGCGUCUGCUCCUGCACGUGCGUCGGUGAAGAAAGCGAGAUGGAGCCAGGAGUGGUUGCACCGAUGGUAGCGACGGUGUUCAUCGUUGCAUGUGUGCCUGUGUAUGCUUUCUCGUGUAAUGCAGGUAGUCGUAUGUGGGAAAGGGGAUGAAGGACGCAAGCCUACUUGUGUCUGUAGGCGGCGUGCGUUGCGUGGUCUGGGUUUUAGCACACGUAACGUGCCGCCGCCUGCGCCCUCUCUCUCCCGGCCUCCGCCUCCUCUAAGGCGUCAAACCCCUCGACACAGCC
rnacentral:misc_RNA from 1 species